AACUUUAAGCUGUGGAUCACUCAGCUUGUGCAUCAAUGAAGAAUGCAGCUAUCUGCGAAAACUAAUGUGAAUUGCAGGACACAUUGAUCAUUGACACUUUGAACACACUUUGCAGCCCCAGGUUACUUCCAGGCUACUCCUGUCUGAGGGUCA